AAUGCCGGAUGCUCCAGUUGAUCGCAUGGUCUUCUGGGAAAGCCUUUGCGGCAUGGGAUGGGGUCGCGUCCUAUCAGCUUGAUGGCGGGGUAACGGCCCACCAUGGCUUCGACGGGUAGCCGGCCUGAGAGGGCGACCGGCCACAUUGGGACUGAGAUACGGCCCAGACUCCUACGGGAGGCAGCAGUGGGGAAUAUUGCACAAUGGGCGCAAGCCUGAUGCAGCGACGCCGCGUGAGGGAUGGAGGCCUUCGGGUUGUAAACCUCUUUUGUUAGGGAGCAAGGCAUUUUGUGUUGAGUGUACCUUUCGAAUAAGCACCGGCUAACUACGUGCCAGCAGCCGCGGUAAUACGUAGGGUGCAAGCGUUAUCCGGAAUUAUUGGGCGUAAAGGGCUCGUAGGCGGUUCGUCGCGUCCGGUGUGAAAGUCCAUCGCUUAACGGUGGAUCCGCGCCGGGUACGGGCGGGCUUGAGUGCGGUAGGGGAGACUGGAAUUCCCGGUGUAACGGUGGAAUGUGU
rnacentral:rRNA from 1 species